rnacentral:rRNA from 1 species
UACGUAGGUGGCAAGCGUUGUCCGGAUUUACUGGGCGUAAAGAGCGCGCAGGCGGUCGUUCAAGUCGCGUGUGAAAGCCCCCGGCUCAACUGGGGAGGGUCACGCGAUACUGAUCGACUCGAAGGCAGGAGAGGGAAGUGGAAUUCCCGGUGUAGUGGUGAAAUGCGUAGAUAUCGGGAGGAACACCAGGUGGCGAAGGCGACUUCCUGGCCUGUUCUUGACGCUGAGGCGCGAAAAGCUAGGGGAGCAAACGGG